rnacentral:rRNA from 1 species
GUGGGGAAUAUUGCACAAUGGGGGAAACCCUGAUGCAGCAACGCCGCGUGAGUGAUGAAGGCCUUCGGGUUGUAAAGCUCUGUCUUUAGGGACGAUAAUGACGGUACCUAAGGAGGAAGCCACGGCUAACUACGUGCCAGCAGCCGCGGUAAUACGUAGGUGGCAAGCGUUGUCCGGAUUUACUGGGCGUAAAGGGAGCGUAGGUGGAUAUUUAAGUGGGAUGUGAAAUACUCGGGCUUAACCUGGGUGCUGCAUUCCAAACUGGAUAUCUAGAGUGCAGGAGAGGAAAGUAGAAUUCCUAGUGUAGCGGUGAAAUGCGUAGAGAUUAGGAAGAACACCAGUGGCGAAGGCGACUCUCUGGACUGUAACUGACACUGAGGCUCGAAAGCGUGGGGAGCAAACAGGAUUAGAAACCCUUGUAGUCC